CAUUUAAAGAGUGCGUAAUAGCUCACUAGUCGAGUGACACUGCGCCGAAAAUGUACCGGGGCUAAACAUAUUACCGAAGCUGUGGAUUGUCCUUUGGACAAUGGUAGGAGAGCGUUCUAAGGGCGUUGAAGCAUGAUCGUAAGGACAUGUGGAGCGCUUAGAAGUGAGAAUGCCGGUGUGAGUAGCGAAAGACGGGUGAGAAUCCCGUCCACCGAUUGACUAAGGUUUCCAGAGGAAGGCUCGUCCGCUCUGGGUUAGUCGGGUCCUAAGCUGAGGCCGACAGGCGUAGGCGAUGGAUAACAGGUUGAUAUUCCUGUACCACCUAUAAUCGUUUUAAUCGAUGGGGGGACGCAGUAGGAUAGGCGAAGCGUGCGAUUGGAUUGCACGUCUAAGCAGUAAGGCUGAGUAUUAGGCAAAUCCGGUACUCGUUAAGGCUGAGCUGUGAUGGGGAGAAGACAUUGUGUCUUCGAGUCGUUGAUUUCACACUGCCGAGAAAAGCCUCUAGAUAGAAAAUAGGUGCCCGUACCGCAAACCGACACAGGUAGUCAAGAUGAGAAUUCUAAGGUGAGCGAGCGAACUCUCGUUAAGGAACUCGGCAAAAUGACCCCGUAACUUCGGGAGAAGGGGUGCUCUUUAGGGUUAACGCCCAGAAGAGCCGCAGUGAAUAGGCCCAAGCGACUGUUUAUCAAAAACACAGGUCUCUGCUAAACCGUAAGGUGAUGUAUAGGGGCUGACGCCUGCCCGGUGCUGGAAGGUUAAGAGGAGUGGUUAGCUUCUGCGAAGCUACGAAUCGAAGCCCCAGUAAACGGCGGCCGUAACUAUAACGGUCCUAAGGUAGCGAAAUUCCUUGUCGGGUAAGUUCCGACCCGCACGAAAGGCGUAACGAUUUGGGCACUGUCUCAACGAGAGACUCGGUGAAAUCAUAGUACCUGUGAAGAUGCAGGUUACCCGCGACAGGACGGAAAGACCCCGUGGAGCUUUACUGUAGCCUGAUAUUGAAAUUCGGCACAGCUUGUACAGGAUAGGUAGGAGCCUUUGAAACGUGAGCGCUAGCUUACGUGGAGGCGCUGGUGGGAUACUACCCUAGCUGUGUUGGCUUUCUAACCCGCACCACUUAUCGUGGUGGGAGACAGUGUCAGGCGGGCAGUUUGACUGGGGCGGUCGCCUCCUAAAAGGUAACGGAGGCGCUCAAAGGUUCCCUCAGAAUGGUUGGAAAUCAUUCAUAGAGUGUAAAGGCAUAAGGGAGCUUGACUGCGAGACCUACAAGUCGAGCAGGGUCGAAAGACGGACUUAGUGAUCCGGUGGUUCCGCAUGGAAGGGCCAUCGCUCAACGGAUAAAAGCUACCCCGGGGAUAACAGGCUUAUCUCCCCCAAGAGUUCACAUCGACGGGGAGGUUUGGCACCUCGAUGUCGGCUCAUCGCAUCCUGGGGCUGUAGUCGGUCCCAAGGGUUGGGCUGUUCGCCCAUUAAAGCGGUACGCGAGCUGGGUUCAGAACGUCGUGAGACAGUUCGGUCCCUAUCCGUCGUGGGCGUAGGAAAUUUGAGAGGAGCUGUCCUUAGUACGAGAGGACCGGGAUGGACAUACCUCUGGUGUACCAGUUGUCGUGCCAACGGCAUAGCUGGGUAGCUAUGUGUGGACGGGAUAAGUGCUGAAAGCAUCUAAGCAUGAAGCCCCCCUCAAGAUGAGAUUUCCCAACUUCGGUUAUAAGAUCCCUCAAAGAUGAUGAGGUUAAUAGGUUCGAGGUGGAAGCAUGGUGACAUGUGGAGCUGACGAAUACUAAUCGAUCGAAGACUUAAUCAAAA
rnacentral:rRNA from 1 species